GGGACAUUUUGUCCUCUUUUCAUUAAAGCACUUGCUCUUUUUUUCUCUCUCUUUUCAGAAGCUCAUAGUCCUCUCUUCAUAGAGAACAAAAAUAAUCUAUAACUAUAACUAUAUAUAUAUAUAUAUAUAUAUAUAUAUAUCAAAUUUGUAUGGAGCAUGGUUGUGCACUUCUAGUGUAGAAGUUGCAAGAGGGUGUAUGUGUAUGUGGUCUUAAUUAAAAAAGUAUGACAAGUUUCUCUACUUGGAUCAAUAAGGUCUAACAAAUAUCAAAACAAACAAGUGGCUCUUUUGCAGUUUCCUUAUCUAGGGAAGAUAUAAAUAUAGCUUG
rnacentral:lncRNA from 1 species